rnacentral:rRNA from 1 species
AUGUCUUCCACAUCGGUUCCGCCGCCGGUGGCGCCGGAGCGGAGGGUGCCCGUGGUGGUGCCGGUGGUGCCCCACUUGGCUGAGGGAGGAGGAGGUGGGAGCGGGGACGAUGCGCGCGGUGGCAUGGCGGGGAUAUCGCCGAGCAUCCUUAUCAUCGCCGUAAUCGUGGUGGUGAUGCUUCUGGCGUCGAUCUCCAUCCACUACUUCAUCCGCAAUCUCUGCCGCCGCAACUCCUCCUCGGGGCCCUCCGCGCCGCCGCUCUCGCUCGUGGCGGUCCGCAGCUCCGCGGUGGCCCCGGCGGCGGCGGCGCCCGUGGCCGACCAGGGGAAGGAGGCGGCCGCGGAGAGGGAGCGGCUCAUUGGGCGGCUGCCGCUCUUCACGCUGGCGUCGUCCCUCGCCGCGCUGCCCAGGUCGCUGGGGCUGCGGCGCUGGAGGCCGGAGCUUGUCCCGCCGUUGGAACGCGCUGUUUACUAG